UGCCCCAUGGCUGAGUUGGUUACAGCGUCCGACUGUUACGAAAAAUGCGUAUUCUCGGAUGCACAUCGGAAGGUCGUGAGUUCGAGCCUCACUGGGGCAG